UCCCGCAACGAGCGCAACCCUUAUCCUUGUUUGCCAGCGAGUCAUGUCGGGAACUCCAGGGAGACUGCCGGUGNUAAACCGGAGGAAGUGGGGACGACGUCAAGUCAUCAUGGCCCUUACGAGUAGGGCUACACACGUGCUACAAUGGCGCAUACAGAGGGCGGCCAACUUGCGAAAGUGAGCGAAUCCCAAAAAGUGCGUCGUAGUCCGGAUUGGAGUCUGCAACUCGACUCCAUGAAGUCCGGAAUCGCUACGUAAUCGUAGAUCAGAAUGCCUACGGUGAAUACGUUCCCGGGCCUU
rnacentral:rRNA from 1 species